rnacentral:tRNA from 1 species
CAGAGAAUAGUUUAUGUAAAAUAUUAACUUUGGAAGUUAAAGAAGGAUAUUAAUUUUUCUCUGA